AGGAAGAGGAGGAAGAGGAGGAAGAGGAGGAGCUGAUCUGUUCCUGAUCUCUAUAGAAACUCAAACUUCCUCCUUCAGUUCAGUUCAACUCUCCAACAUUAACUCUGAUCAACAUGGACUAUUAUGGUCUGUUUCUGCUCAUCGUCUCUCUACUAACAGGUGUGAACUGUAAAGACCUUGUUCCAGUUCAGGAGGAAGAGUUCGCUGUGGAGGGGAGAACAGUUUCUCUGUCCCACCCUAAAGACUCCUCUGGGACGUACUUCUUCUGGUACCGACAGCUUCAGGGAAAAUCACCAGAGUUUCUCAUUUCUCACUCGCCUUCAGGAGAAGUAGGGCUGCAAAGAACCACUGGGCUGAAGAUCCAAGUGGACAAAAAUGAAAUAAAGCUGCUGAUCUCCUCUGCUGCAGUGACAGACUCUGCUGUGUACUACUGCGCUCUGCAGCCCACAGUGACAGGAAACACCAGAACCCUGUACAAAAACCUGCAGUACUCCACAGCAGCCACCAGAGGGCCUCACUCUCUGUUAAUCCACUGGUUGUUGAGUCUCUGGACUGAAGACAGACAUGAAGCAGUAAAGAUCAGAGCUGCUGAGGAAGCAGAAAACUGUGAUAAUUCAUUUAUUACGUUUCUAUAUUUAUUUUGUUGACACAAAUAACUUUAUUGAGUUAUUUGUUCAGGUUACCAUUUCUUGAACCUGACUGAGGUUUGAUCCAGUCAGUAGAGCGAAAUCCUGUGGGGUCCUCUGGACCUGAUGAAGCACAGGAAGUUUAGCACCACCUGCUGGUGAGGAGUUUGGACCAAAUGUGACCCAAAGAAACUCGUAUCUUUGUCUCAACAAACAGAAAUUGACCUGGUAGCUUUUCCUUCUUGAGUCUUUCUGAAAUUAAUCACCAGAUGUAGUUUUGGCUGUAAUUGGUUGAUACAUGAAUCCAAAUAAAACAUACAACAAAUAUACCCCCAUUGAUUUAUUGAUUAUUUACUGUAGUGAGUCAUGAUGAAGUGAUGCAAAGUUUCACACAGCAUCAGCAUGCAGAGCCUGCCAAGAGGAGGAUUUGUCCCCUUUCAUCAGCAGCUCUCUUUAGGUGUGUUUUGUUAAUCAUCUCAUUUAAUUGAAGUAAAAAUGGAAGAAAAAUCUUUAUUUUUAAAUGUCAGAAAGUCUAUUUUCUAAAAUAACAUGU